rnacentral:rRNA from 1 species
ACGGGGUGCAGCAGGCGCGAAACCUCUGCAAUAGGCGAAAGCUUGACAGGGUUACUCUGAGUGAUUUCCGUUAAGGAGAUCUUUUGGCACCUCUAAAAAUGGUGCAGAAUAAGGGGUGGGCAAGUCUGGUGUCAGCCGCCGCGGUAAUACCAGCAUCCCGAGUGGUCGGGACGUUUAUUGGGCCUAAAGCAUCCGUAGCCGGUUCUACAAGUCUUCCGUUAAAUCCACCUGCUUAACAGAUGGGCUGCGGAAGAUACUAUAGAGCUGGGAGGCGGGAGAGGCAAGCGGUACUCGAUGGGUAGGGGUAAAAUCCGUUGAUCCAUUGAAGACCACCAGUGGCGAAGGCGGCUUGCCAGAACGCGCUCGACGGUGAGGGAUGAAAGCUGGGGGAGCAAACCGGAUUAGAUACCCGGGUAGUCCCAGCUGUAAACGAUGCAGACUCGGUGAUGAGUUGGCUUAUUGCUAACUCAGUGCCGCAGGGAAGCCGUUAAGUUUGCCGCCUGGGGAGUACGGUCGCAGGACUGAAACUUAAAGGAAUUGGCGGGGGAGCAC